rnacentral:rRNA from 1 species
GUCCACGCUGUAAACGUUGGGCACUAGGUGUGGGCUCUAACCAACGGAGUCCGUGCCGCAGCUAACGCAUUAAGUGCCCCGCCUGGGGAGUACGGCCGCAAGGUUAAAACUCAAAGGAAUUGACGGGGGCCCGCACAAGCAGCGGAGCAUGUUGCUUAAUUCGAGGCAACGCGAAGAACCUUACCUGGGCUUGACAUGUAGGGAAAUCUCGUAGAGAUACGGGGGUCCUUCGGGGCUCUACACAGGUGGUGCAUGGCUGUCGU